ensembl:snoRNA LOC120096390 small nucleolar RNA SNORA44
CUGGAAGUGCUAUUUGCACAUGUGAUAAGAAGCACAAGGGCCACUGCAUGCCAGAGUAACGGAGAGACUUUGACAGCCCAGGUUAUCAUAGUGCCUGCUGUUGCCACUCAGCUCUCCUAUAUGU